rnacentral:rRNA from 1 species
GAUGAACGCUAGCGGCAGGCUUAAUACAUGCAAGUCGAGGGGGAUUAUUUUUGUAGCAAUACAGAGAUAUGAGACCGGCAAACGGGUGCGGAACACGUACGCAACCUUCCCAAAACUGGUGAAUAGCCCUCCGAAAGGAGGAUUAAUACACCGUAACAUAAUGAAGUGGCAUCACUUUAUUAUUAUAGCUCCGGCGGUUUUGGAUGGGCGUGCGCCUGAUUAGGUAGUUGGCGGGGUAACGGCCCACCAAGCCUGCGAUCAGUAACUGGUGUGAGGGCACGACCAGUCACACGGGCACUGAGACACGGGCCCGACUCCUACGGGAGGCAGCAGUAAGGAAUAUUGGUCAAUGGACGAAAGUCUGAACCAGCCAUGCCGCGUGAAGGAUGAAGGCCCUCUGGGUUGUAAACUUCUUUUAUCUGGGACGAAAAAAGGCGAUUCUUCGUCACUUGACGGUACCAGAGGAAUAAGCACCGGCUAACUCCGUGCCAGCCGCCGCCGUAACAC